AGGCGAAUAAGAGUUUACGGUGGCUCCUUGGUGUUCAGAAGCGAUGAAGGGCGUGGUUACCAACGAUAUGUUUUGGGAAAGCUGGAAACAAGCCUAGAUCCAAAAAUCCCCCAAUGAGGAAACUUAAUUAUACUAGACUCUACCAGUUAUAGUAGAGAAGGGUAAACCUAGCGAAGUGAAACAUCUUAGUAGCUAGAGGACAGACAAAUUAAUAUGUUGACCCCUAGUAGCGGCGAGCGAACGCGGGAAAAUAGCUCAAACUUUAUUUAUUUUUUAAUAAAGGGUUGUGCAACAGCUUUAUUUUUCAGUAAACCAAUAAUAGAAGAAAAAAUGUGAAAUCGUUUACCAUAGAAGGCGAAAGUCCUGUACUCUAUUAUUGAGCAAACUGAAGUUGAUUGCGAGUAGGUCGGAACACGUGAAAUUCCUGCCGAAUAAGGGUGGACCACUGGUAAG
rnacentral:rRNA from 1 species